AUGGCGUCUAGCACCAGGUUUGCUCCCCUCCUCCUAGCGCUCGCCGUCCUCGCCGCGGCGGCGCUGGCCCCCUCGGCGUCGGCGGCGGCCGGGACGGAGUACUGCCGGGACACGCUGGGCGGCCUGCUGGCGUGCCACGCGUUCAUGUACGAGGGCGCGCCGGCGGCCUCGCCCGCCUGCUGCGACGCCUACAGCGCCGCCUUCAACGCCGACCCCUUCUGCCUCUGCUACAUCGCCAACGGUGUCUACGGCCGCUCCACCGGCUACGACGUCAACGUCACCCACGCCCUCGAGAUCCCCACCAGCUGCGGCCAGGUCCAGCCGCCCAUCCAGCUCUGCGACAUGCAAGGAGUGGUACUUCCUCCCUACGAGCCGGAGUCCGGACCCAAGGCUUCGUCGCCGGCGGCUCAGCCACCUUCAGCAGGAUCGGUAGAGCCACCACGGUCGUCUCCUGCGGCGCCGUCGUCGACUUCCCCGCCACCGCCACCACCAACAACAACAACAACCUCCGGCAGUGAUCAAUCUUCGGCGCAGAUGGCCCUCGUGCUCUUCACCGUUGCUGCCGGCAUGCUCGCGGCCGUGGCCUGA
rnacentral:rRNA from 1 species